CAAUAAGACACCGCGACACCUCUCCGUCUUGUAGGAGGGACGGAGCUGCGGCGUUCUCCAAAAAUAAGGUGUAAAUUGCCCUCGCGGGCAGCGCGGAGGAGGCGGCGCGUGGGAAGAUGAGCAGAGGCCUGGAGUGGGCCUCAGGGCUGCAGUCUGGGAGCAUGCAGAGAAGGCGUCCCGGUGUGGGGAAACGGCGUUUUGGUGAGGGUGAGGUGAUUGAGGACACUGACUUCAGCUCUGAAAAUUCCCAAGACACAAACUGGAGAAUAUUCAGAAAAAAGCAAUAGAACCGAAUUUGCUUAAAAAUGGAAACAGGACAAACCAAUGUUCCCCAAGUAAAUUGUUAACAUACUAAAUUUAAACAAUAUGAAAAAGAGGUGGAGCUAGAGGAAAGACUAUGAAGGACCAAGAAUCUAUCUCCAAACCUAGAGAACAAAUUCUGCUGGCAGAAUCUGAUGUAACCAUUCUGGAACUCUGGAGUCUACUGAAGGCUUGCAAUUUCCAGGGGAAGGCUUGGUCUGUCAACUGCAGUUGAUUUCAGUUCUUAGAAUCAUAGUAGUUAUCUAUCUCUGAUACUUCCAACCCCACUGCAGGCAACCAUGAAUAUGCUCCUGGAGCAGUCUACAUGCAACUUGUGGUUUCAGGUUGGGCAAUAAGCACCCUGUCCUCCAAAUAUUGGGACUCUGUUUUGACUGCUAAUUCUGAUCAUAGAACUGCAGAUACAGAUGUGGGCAGCCAUUGCCGCAAACCCCACAUUCACUUGAUGGAGUCCUAUAGGUCCCUUGUAAGUCCCUCCUCUGGCUAAAGCAACUUCUAUGAAAUUUAUAGGGCCAAUGUCUUCCCUCUUUCAUUUCUCUCUCUUUUAAAAUAAAUUUUGGAGUUAGACAUUGAAGGAAUAGGCCUUUCAAAAGAAACCACAUAUGUAAUGCCCAAGGAGAGGAGGAGAGGAGUAGGCUCAGAAAAAGCCUGAGGAGACCUUAAGGAAUAUAUCUCAGGCUAAUCUCUGGCAUAUCUUACCAUUUGAAAAAGAAACAAAACAAAACAGUGAACCCAGGGGAAGGGAAAUAAUCUGGUUUCUAGAGUUAGUGCAUUAUAAGACAAAUAUCUACUCUUUACCCCAAAAAUUCAAAGGUAUGCAAAGAAACAAGAAAAUAUUGUCCAUUGAAAGGAAAAAAUAAAUCAAGAGAAACUGUCCCUAAAAAAGCCUAGACGGUAGACUUACUAGACAAAGAUGCAAAACAACUGUCUUAAAGAUGCUCUCGGUGCUAAAAGAAAACAUGCAUACCAUCAGGAAAAUGACGUAUGAACGGAAGGGAACUAUCAAUAUAAAGGGAGAAAACAAAAAGAAACCAAAAAAUUUUGGAACUGAAAAGUAUAAUUGAAGUGAAAAAUUCAAUAGAGGGAUUCAAAACCAAAUUUGAGUAGGCAGAAGAAUCAACAAAUUUGAAAUAGAAUGGAAAUUUUACAGAGUCUGAGAAAUGGAAGACUUGAGAAAAAUUAUUAGGGCCUAAGGGACCUGUAGGGCACCAUCAGGUAGACUGACAUACCCAUUGUGGGAGUCUGAGAAGAAAGGGGCAGAGAGAUUAUCUGAAGAAAUAAUGGCUUAAAAACUCCCCAAAUUCCAUGAAAGACAUGAAUAUAAAUAUCCAAGCUCAAAACCCCAAUCAGGAUAAAACCAAAACCUUAAACCGAGGCAUAUUACAAUCAAACUUUUGAAAGACAGACAAUUCUGGAAACAGCAAGACAGAAGCAAAUCAUCAUAUACAAGGUAUCCCAAUAAGACUGCAGAUUUUUCAUCAGAAAUUUUGGAUGCCAGAAGGCAAUGAAUUGAAAAUUUCAAGGUACUAAAGGAAAAAGAUCUGUCAAUCAACAAUUCUAUAUCUGGCAAAAGUGUCCUUCAAAAAUGAGGCAGAAAUUAAAGCAUUCCCAGAUAAACCAAGCGUGAUGGAAUUCAUUAACAGUUAGUUCUUUCUGCAAGAAAUGCUAAAGGGAGUCCUUAAGGUUUAAAUGAAAGGACGCUUGAUAGUAAAUCAAAGUCUUAUGAAGAAAUAAAGAUCUCUGGUAAAGGUAAGUAUAUAGACAAGUAUAAAAUCAAAUAUUAUAACUUUAGUUGGUAAUUGUACUUUUUGUUUCUACAUGACUUAAGAGACUAAUGCAUAAAAAUCUGGUUAUGAGUUUGUUUUUUGGACACACAGCGUAUGAAGCUAUAAUUGUGACAUCUGUAACUGAAAGGGGUUGGGGAUGGAGCAGUACAGGAGCAGAGUUUUUGUAUAUUAUUAAAGGCAAACAGUAAUAAAGUGUUAUACCUUUAGGAAAGUAAAUGUAAUCCUCAUAGUAACCACAAAGAAAAUCGCUCUUGAAUAUACCCAAAAGGAAAUGAGAUGGUAAUUUAAAUGAUUCACUAUUAAAAAAAUGAACAAAACAUGAAAGAAGAGGAAAUGAGGGACAAAAAAGCUAAGCUAUAAGGUAUAUAGACGACAUAGCAAAAUGAAUAGAAGUAGAAUAGAAGUCCUCAGUUACUUUAAAUGUAAAUAGAUUAAACUUCAAUCAAAAGAUUCUUAGAAUGGGUUUAUAAAAGAAAACAUAAUCCAAUUCUGCUAUCUAUAUGAAACUUACUUUAGAUCCAAAGGUACUAAUUGGUUGAUAAUAAAGGAUAGAAAAGAUAGUCCAUGCAAAUGGUAAUGAAAAGAGAGCAAGGGUAGCUAAGCUAUCAGACAAUACAGACUUUAAAUUGAAAAAUGUUAUGAGACAAAGGACAUUAUAUAUCAAUGCAGCAAGAAGAUAAUGAUUAUAAACAUUUACAUAACAAAACA